UACGUAGGGUGCGAGCGUUAAUUGGAAUUACUGGGCGUAAAGGGUGCGCAGGCGGCUCCGCAUGUCGGGCGUGAAAGCCCCGGGCUCAACCUGGGAAUUGCAUCUGAGACUGCAUAGCUAGGGUGCGGAAGAGGGAAGCGGAAUUUCCGGUGUAGCGGUGAAAUGCGUAGAUAUCGGAAGGAACACCAGUGGCGAAAGCGGCUUCCUGGUCCAGCACCGACGUUCAGGCACGAAAGCGUGGGGAGCAAACAGG
rnacentral:rRNA from 1 species